rnacentral:rRNA from 1 species
GAUGAACGCUGGCGGCGUGCUUAACACAUGCAAGUCGAACGGAAAGGCCCAGCCUUUGUGGGGUGCUCGAGUGGCGAACGGGUGAGUAACACGUGAGUAACCUGCCCUUGACUUUGGGAUAACUCUGGGAAACUGGGGCUAAUACCGGAUAGGAGCUCCUGCUGCAUGGUGGGGGGUGGAAAGUUUCGGCGGUUGGGGAUGGACUCGCGGCUUAUCAGCUUGUUGGUGGGGUAGUGGCGUACCAAGGCUUUGACGGGUAGCCGGCCUGAGAGGGUGACCGGCCACAUUGGGACUGAGAUACGGCCCAGACUCCUACGGGAGGCAGCAGUGGGGAAUAUUGCACAAUGGGCGGAAGCCUGAUGCAGCAACGCCGCGUGCGGGAUGACGGCCUUCGGGUUGUAAACCGCUUUCGCCAGUGACGAAGCGUGAGUGACGGUAACUGGUAAAGAAGCACCGGCUAACUACGUG